AUGAUCUGGCAUGUACAGAAUGAAAACUUCAUUCUCGAUUCUACGAGAAUUUUUAUGAAAGCGUUUCAUUUGCUUCUUUUCAAUGGAAGUUUCAUUUUCCCAGAAUGUAUUCUAAUUUUUGGCCUAAUUCUUCUUCUGAUGAUCGAUUCAACCUCUGAUCAAAAAGAUAGACCUUGGUUCUAUUUCAUCUCUUCAACAAGUUUAGUAAUAAGCAUAACGGCCCUAUUGUUCCGAUGGAGAGAAGAAUACGAGGAGUAA
rnacentral:rRNA from 1 species